rnacentral:rRNA from 1 species
GUGGGGAAUCUUCCGCAAUGGACGAAAGUCUGACGGAGCAACGCCGCGUGAGUGAAGAAGGUUUUCGGAUCGUAAAGCUCUUUCGUUAGGGACGAACGUGCUCUUUGUGAAUAAUGAGGAGUAAUGACGGUACCUAAAUAAGAAGCCACGGCUAACUACGUGCCAGCAGCCGCGGUAAUACGUAGGUGGCAAGCGUUGUCCGGAAUUAUCGGGCGUAAAGCGCGCGCAGGCGGGAUAUCAAGUCUGUCUUAAAAGUGCGAGGCUCAACCUCGUGAGGGGACAGAAACUGGUAUUCUUGAGUGUCGGAGAGGAAAGUGGAAUUCCAAGUGUAGCGGUGAAAUGCGUAGAGAUUUGGAAGAACACCAGUGGCGAAGGCGACUUUCUGGACGAUGUCUGACGCUGAGGCGCGAAAGCUAGGGGAGCGAACGGGAUUAGAAACCCCAGUAGUCC